rnacentral:rRNA from 1 species
UUGGAGGGCAAGUCUGGUGCCAGCAGCCACGGUAAUUCCAGCUCCAAUAGCGUAUAUUAAAGUUGUUGCAGUUAAAAAGCUCGUAAUUGAAUUUCGGAAUCAAUUAAUUGGUCGUGCCUAUGGUACGUACUGAUUUUAUUGGUUUCUCCCUUCUGACGAACCAUGAUGUCAUUAAUUUGGUGUCGUGGAGAAUCAGGACUGUUACUUUGAAAAAAUUAGAGUGUUUAAAGCAAGCUAACGCUUGAAUACAUUAGCAUAGAAUAAUGAAAUAGGACGUUUGAUCCUAUUUUGUUGGUUUCUAGGAUCAACGUAAUGAUUAAUAGGGAUAGUUGGGGGCAUUAGUAUUCAAUUGUCAGAGGUGAAAUUCUUGGAUUUAUUGAAGACUAACUACUGCGAAAGCAUUUGCCAAGGAUGUUUUCAUUAAUCAAGAACGAAAGUUAGGGGAUCGAAGACGAUCAGAUACCGUCGUAGUCUUAACCAUAAACUAUGCCGACUAGGGAUCGGAUGAUGUUAAUUUUUUAAUGACUCAUUCGGCGCCUUACGGGAAAC